rnacentral:ncRNA from 1 species
GUUUGUUUAACUAUGGCAAUAAGAAGUGUACAGUAACUUAAUUGCAUAAAAAGCUUUUAUACUUUUGUUGUAAGGUAUCAAUUACAUUUAUUAGCAGUUAGUAUUUUUGUUGACUUUACGGUUUUUAAGAUGUUGCUGUAUAAAGGGGAUAGGACACAGUGCCAGCAUCCGCGGUUAAUCUGUUUUCUUUGCUUUUAUUAGGGAUUUGAAUAGAUGAUUAGAAGCAAGGUUUGGUGAAAAUUUCUUGUGUUUAUUUUUGACAUCUAUAAUUAAGAGAGAUAGCUUGAAACGACAGGGAUUAGAUACCCCAUUAGUAGCUAUUGUAUUUUGUUCCUUAGUUUUAUAACUAAAAUAGUUUGGCAGCGAGUUACUCCUAUUGGGGGAAGGUGUGUUGUAAAGGACGAUCCGCCAAAUAAGCGACCUGUGUUAUGUUGGUGUAUAUCUGGUUUGAUAUUAUUGCUUUAGUGGCUGAAUUUGUGUAUAAAUUAUUAAGCCAAGUCUAUGUGCUGCCUGCACAGGGUUUCAUGCGUUACAUUUAUAAAAAGUUGUAUGUAAAAUUAACUUCUUUAGGACUCAAAAGUAAUAAAAAAUAAGUUUGUUUUUGUGAAACGGGUUUAACUUGGGUACACACCGCCCGUCACCCUCGACAUUUGUUGAGGUAAGUCGUAACAUGGUAACCCCAAAUGAAUUUGGGGUUAAUUAUCUAAAGAU